rnacentral:rRNA from 1 species
GAUAACUAGCUGUCCGGGCACUUGGUGCUUGGGUGGCGCAGCUAACGCAUUAAGUUAUCCCCCUGGGGAGUACGGUCGCAAGAUUAAAACUCAAAGGAAUUGACGGGGGCCUGCACAAGCCGGUGGAGCAUGUGGUUUAAUUCGAAGCAACGCGCAGAACCUUACCAGCGUUUGACAUCCCGCGCUAUCCAGAGAGAUCUGGGGUUCCCUUCGGGGACGCGGUGACAGGUGCUGCAUGGCUGUCGUCAGCUCGUGUCGUGAGAUGUUGGGUUAAGUCCCGCAACGAGCGCAACCCUCGUCCUUAGUUGCCAUCAUUAAGUUGGGCACUCUAAGGAAACCGCCCGGUGAUAAGCCGGAGGAAGGUGGGGAUGACGUCAAGUCCUCAUGGCCCUUACACGCUGGGCUACACACGUGCUACAAUGGCGGUGACAGUGAGCAGCUAGCCCGCCGAGGGUAUGCUAAUCUCCAAAAGCCGUCUCAGUUCGGAUUGUUCUCUGCAACUCGAGAGCAUGAAGGCGGAAUCGCUAGUAAUCGCGGAUCAGCAUGCCGCGGUGAAUACGUUCCCAGGCCUUGUACACACCGCCCGUCACACCAUGGGAGUUGGAUUCACUCGAAGGCGUUGAGCUAACCCGCCAAGGGAGGCAGGCGACCACAGUGGGUUUAGCGACUGGGGUGAAGUCGUAACAAGGUACC